GACGAACGCUGGCGGCGUGCUUAACACAUGCAAGUCGAACGGAAAGGCCCUGCUUUUGUGGGGUGCUCGAGUGGCGAACGGGUGAGUAACACGUGAGUAACCUGCCCUUGACUUUGGGAUAACUUCAGGAAACUGGGGCUAAUACCGGAUAGGAGCUCCUGCUGCAUGGUGGGGGUUGGAAAGUUUCGGCGGUUGGGGAUGGACUCGCGGCUUAUCAGCUUGUUGGUGGGGUAGGGGCUUACCAAGGCUUUGACGGGUAGCCGGCCUGAGAGGGUGACCGGCCACAUGGGGACUGAGAUACGGCCCAGACUCCUACGGGAGGCAGCAGUGGGGAAUAUUGCACAAUGGGCGGAAGCCUAAUGCAGCAACGCCGCGUGCGGGAUGACGGCCUUCGGGUUGUAAACCGCUUUCGCCUGUGACGAAGCGUGAGUGACGGUAAUGGGUAAAGAAGCACCGGCUAACUACGUG
rnacentral:rRNA from 1 species